AUUUACCUAAACGUCUCCCCGACCUUUCCACUUCAUCGUCAUCGAGUCAACUCCCCCUGGAAUCACCGUUACUCACAACCUUCUUUAAAUAUGUUAAGUCUCAUAAUUCUUACUAAUAUCCUUCUUGCUGCAUGUGACCUUUCGAAAACUCUCUGUCGUCUCAGUUUAUCCUCAAUGUUCUUUUCGUGUCGAAGACUCGGGUCCAUUUCCAUCCCUCCCACUGCUUUCUUCGAUUACAUAUGCCCAGGACGUUGACGUGGAAGCUGGGUAUGACUGGCGGAUCGGAACACGAGUGCGAAGAAGUUGAGGAAUACAAAGAUUUUGCAUCUAGGCUUGAGAGAACAGAACUUUAGAAGGAAAAUAGAGGCGUGUUUACGGGAUGUUACGCGAAAAAUCCAGCUAAUGGGGAUAAUAUUCCCAUAUGGGUAGCUGAUUAUGUUCUAGCAAUGUAACUUCAGUUUCAAAAAUUUACAUUGCUUUGAAGCAUUUGUGUGUAACAAAGAACUAUGUGAAAGCUAUGGAACCGAAGCAAUCAUGGCGGUCCCAGCUCAUGAUACGCGUGAUAAUUAGUUUGCGUUGAAGUAUAGCUUUCCAAUCAAGUGGGUAGUGAGGAACGAGGCAAGCUCAAGUGAUGAUGAUCAUAAGCAGGUUUAUCCAGGAGUGGGAAUAAUUGAGAACUCAUCAAGUGUGGAAACGUGACUUGAAAUUAAUCAACUAUCUAGCACAGAAGCUGCUUUAAAAGUUAUUGAAUGGGCUGAGAGAACCAGAAAUGGAAAGAAAAAGGAAAUUACAAGUUGAGAAAUUGGCUAUUUGCAGGGCAGCGUUACUGGGGAGAACCUAUCCCGAUCUUAUUCUUGGAUGAAUCUGGUGAAACUAUUGCGGUGAAAGAAUCUGAACUUCCACUCACUUUGCCUGAGUUGAAUGAUUUCACUCUCACUGGAACAGGGGAACCACCACUUUCAAAAGCAGUUUCAUGGGUAAACACCGAAGAUCCUGCAACAGGAAAACCUGCCAAAAGAGAAACAAGUACUAUGCCACAAUGGGCUGUGUCUUGCUGGUACUAUCUGAGAUUCAUGGUCUUUUAUCAGGUUUACAUCGGAAUUUAAUCUUCAUAAGUGUUCUGUCAUCAUUCAAUAUCAUUUAGCCAACAAUACUUAAUUCUAAUGACAUCUCUUUUGUUUGGUUACAUUGUACUUCCCUUAAUGAACUCAGAAGAUCUUACCAUGCUUACAAUGUAAUGCGAAGUAUAAGUAAAGAUUUGAAGAGUUUCAGACCUAAACUUCAGCUUGGAGUUCUGAAUAUGAGAACAAUAUUCUUGGCAAGCUCAGCAGGACGACAACGAAUGGUGUGAACAUGAAACAAAGAUAAAAUCCAUAGAAGAAAUUUGGCAGGAGCAAAUGAGAUCUUUGCAACCCAGUACGUCCAUUGCAAAGAGAAGUCUAGAGGCUGAGGAUUCCGCUAGAAAUUUGGAUGCAUAUGUUAUGUGAAGGCUAGCAAUUAUUAUGGGUUUAAGCGUAACAAGCCGGUUAGCAGAAGAAUUUCUUCAGACAAAGAACUCAAGUGUCUGGAGAUGACUCAAAGGCCUUGAUGGAUCUGAAGUCUGGUAAGGUGGAAGUGAACUUGAAUCCCUAAAGGGAGCUAAGGAGGCUGAAACAGAUGUUUGAGACCUGAAAGAAGAAUUACGAAAGGAGACAAAGGGAAACAAAAACGAUACUAAGCAAAGUGAAGAAACUUUGGAUAGGGUGAAGCGUAAGUGAUGGGAGAGGUAAAGGAGUACCAAGUAGCGGUGGUCUGUUUCUUUACUUGAGACGCAAGUUUCUUUUUAACACGUUUGGUGUUAUGAGGUUUUGGUUUGUUGCUGAGAUGUAAGAAUACAUGGUACUAAAAAUGAGUCAUAUUUCUCA